rnacentral:rRNA from 1 species
GGUGAACGUUGGCGGUGCGUCUAAUACAUGCAAGUCGAGCGAGGCUUCGAGCCGAGCGGCGGACGGCUGAGUAACACGUUAGUAACUGCCCCCCACUCAGGGAUAAGCGCUGGAAACGGCGUCUAAUACCGGAUGGUCCCGUAAGGGUAAAGAUUUUUCGGUGGGGGAGGUGCUUGCGGCCUAUCAGCUUGUUGGUAAGGUAAUGGCUUACCAAGGCUAUGACGGGUAGCUGGUCUGAGAGGAUGAUCAGCCAGAGGGAAACUGAGACACGGUUCCCACUCCUACGGGAGGCAGCAGUAAAGAAUCUUCCACAAUGGGCGAAAGCCUGAUGGAGCGACACCGCGUGCAGGAUGAAGGUUUUCCGAACCGUAAACUGCUUUUCUGAGGGAAGAAUUAUGACGGUACCUUAGGAAUAAGCACCGGCUAACUCCGUGCCAGCCGCCGCGGUAA